ACAUAUUCUAGAGCCUAAUUCAAUAUACUUUAAUAAUAUAAUUACUAUCAAAUCUUAAAAAAAUAAAAUUUUCAACAUUAAAUUUAUAAAUAUAACCCACCUCUUCUUCUAAAAGCUGCACCUUGAUUUGAUCUAAUAUAAAAUUUUAUAUAAAGAAAAUUAAAUUUCUUAAGAAAUAUUCAUUACAACAACGAUAUACAAGCCUAUUUAAAAGUAAAAUAAAUUGUGGGCUAUCAAUUACAGGGCAGGUUCCUCUGAUAGGUUAAAAUACCGCCAAGAUAAUUAAUUUUCAAGCUCUUAACUAAUACUAAUUCGGUGUUUAAAACUACAGUUUUAAUAACAGGGUAUCUAAUCCUGGUUUAAAAUAAAACUUUUUUAGAUCAAUUAAUUUAUUAAUUUAAUUUUUAUAAUAAAAUUUCACCUCUCAAUAUAAAUUUAUUAAUAACUAAAAACUUAACUACAAACCAAUAAAAUUAAAUUACUCUUCUUGUAUAACCGCA
rnacentral:rRNA from 1 species